rnacentral:rRNA from 1 species
CCUACGGGUGGCUGCAGUGAGGAAUAUUGGUCAAUGGGCGAGAGCCUGAACCAGCCAAGUCGCGUGAAGGAUGAAGGAUCUAUGGUUUGUAAACUUCUUUUAUAUGGGAAUAAAGUGAGGAACGUGUUCCUUUUUGUAUGUACCAUAUGAAUAAGCAUCGGCUAACUCCGUGCCAGCAGCCGCGGUAAUACGGAGGAUGCGAGCGUUAUCCGGAUUUAUUGGGUUUAAAGGGUGCGUAGGUGGUUAAUUAAGUCAGCGGUGAAAGUUUGUGGCUCAACCAUAAAAUUGCCGUUGAAACUGGUUGACUUGAGUAUAUUUGAGGUAGGCGGAAUGCGUGGUGUAGCGGUGAAAUGCAUAGAUAUCACGCAGAACUCCGAUUGCGAAGGCAGCAUGCCGGCUCCACACUGACGCUGAGGCACGAAAGCGUGGGUAUCGAACAGGAUUAGAUACCCGUGUAGUC